CAUCAUUUAAAGAAAGCGUAAUAGCUCACUGGUCGAGUCGGCCUGCGCGGAAGAUGUAACGGGGCUAAACCAUGCACCGAAGCUGCGGCAGCGAUGCUUAUGCGUUGUUGGGUAGGGGAGCGUUCUGUAAGCCUGCGAAGGUGUGCUGUGAGGCAUGCUGGAGGUAUCAGAAGUGCGAAUGCUGACAUAAGUAACGAUAAAGCGGGUGAAAAGCCCGCUCGCCGGAAGACCAAGGGUUCCUGUCCAACGUUAAUCGGGGCAGGGUGAGUCGACCCCUAAGGCGAGGCCGAAAGGCGUAGUCGAUGGGAAACAGGUUAAUAUUCCUGUACUUGGUGUUACUGUGAAGGGGGGACGGAGAAGGCUAUGUUGGCCGGGCGACGGUUGUCCCGGUUUAAGCGUGUAGGCUGGUUUUCCAGGCAAAUCCGGAAAAUCAAGGCUGAGGCGUGAUGACGAGGCACUACGGUGCUGAAGCAACAAAUGCCCUGCUUCCAGGAAAAGCCUCUAAGCAUCAGGUAACAUCAAAUCGUACCCCAAACCGACACAGGUGGUCAGGUAGAGAAUACCAAGGCGCUUGAGAGAACUCGGGUGAAGGAACUAGGCAAAAUGGUGCCGUAACUUCGGGAGAAGGCACGC
rnacentral:rRNA from 1 species